rnacentral:rRNA from 1 species
UACGUAGGGGGCAAGCGUUGUCCGGAAUUAUUGGGCGUAAAGAGCGCGUAGGCGGUCCGGUAAGUCGGCUGUGAAAGUCAAGGGCUCAACCCUUGAAAGCCGGCCGAUACUGUCGGACUAGAGUCCGGAAGAGGCGAGUGGAAUUCCCGGUGUAGCGGUGGAAUGCGUAGAGAUCCGGAAGAACACCGGUGGCGAAGGCGGUUGGCUGGGCCGUGGCUGACACUGAGGCGCGACAGCGUGGGGAGCAAACAGG